rnacentral:misc_RNA from 1 species
CAGCCGGGUAAUUCCAGCUCCAAUAGCGUAUAUUAGUGUUGUUGCGGUUAAAAAGCUCGUAGUUGAAUUUCGGGAUUGGGAUAUAUCGGUCAUGCCUUUAGGGGCAUGAAUCGGUGUGUAGCCAAUUUCUCACCUUCUGGUGAAUUGGGAUGCUCUUGGGUGUUUCAAUGAACUAGGACUUUUACUUUGAAAAAAAUAUAGUGUUUAAAGCGGGCAUUUUUGCUUGAAUACAUUAGCAUGGAAUAAUAAAAUAGGACGAUGGUUCUAUUUUGUUGGUUUUAGGACCACGUAAUGAUUAAUAGGGAUAGUUGGGGGCAUUAGUAUUCAAUAGUCAGAGGUGAAAUUCUUGGAUUUAUUGAGGACUAACUACUGCGAAAGCAUUUGCCAAGGAUGUUUUCAUUAAUCAAGAACGAAAGUUAGGGGAUCGAAGACGAUUUAUGUACGUCGUAGUCUUAACCAUAAACUAUGCCGACUAGGAAUCAGACAAAGUUCAUUUUUUAACGACUUGUUUGGUACCUUACG